rnacentral:tRNA from 1 species
UCCUCGAUAGCUCAAUGGUAGAGCAAUCGGCUGUUAACCGAUUGGUUAUAGGUUCGAAUCCUAUUCGAGGAGCCA